CUGUGUAGCACGCAAAAAGUCGGACUAUCGUACUCUGGAACACGCUUCAAUAGAUUAACGUUCGUGCGCAUGAGCACGCACACUCCGGGAGCUAAGGGGGGCCGGAGGGCUUCGACGGCGGCCAGAAUGCUGUGUCCGGUGGGGGAAGCCGCCGAGCUACCCCCGCCGGACUGCCGCCGAAGCUUCGGCUGCAGUUCGGCAGCUCAACUUCCAGCAGUCGGUUGCACCAGCAGAACGUAAGGUCCAACUUAGGCUACGUUGAACGUAAAUCACCCAAACGUUCGACUUUACACUCUACUAAAAAAAUAGCAGUUGCACCAAGCAGAUAGUUUCAACGUAACACUAAGUUAUAACUUAUCUUUUACACCUCCCCUCUAGCUGGUGUAAGUUCCAUACUAACGAUAAAGAACCGUUAAAAGAAAAAAAGGUAAAAAGAUUUCAACACUAACGCAGGGUAAAGAUGGCUAUUCGUUUUGAGCAAUGGGAAGAGGAGUUUCAAUGCGAUUUGCGCCGGGAACGGAUUGUCCGUGACCGUAUCGAUCCAUUUCUUUAUUAUGAUGAUGUUGAAUUAUAUGCGCGAUUUCGGUUUUGCCGGGCGGAAUAUUAUAUUUAUUUAUUUAUUAUAAAAUCCGCCAUCAAAUAGCUUAACCUCACGCCUAUACCGUCCAAGCAAAUUUUAGAGAAUAAAUGACUGAAACUGUUUUGUUUGCCCUCUCAUUUGGGUGUUAACGCGUCUUCACUCGGGUAAGGUGGACACUUGCCGGUAUUUCCUGUUUACAUUGUUAUCUGUCAAUGAUUGGCUUGAAAUUAUCUAAACGUCAUUAAAAGCGACACUAGUACCGUUUACGCACUACCAGUAACGUUACAACUUAAGUUAUGGUGGUGCAACCAAAAUUUAGAACACCUUUAGUUUGACACUAGCUACGUCGAGCGUAGGGUUACGGCGGACUUUACACCCGAACUUACGAUCGGCUUUACGUUCUGCUGGUGCAACCGACUGCAGGAGUACAAUCCCUUUCUUCUCCAUGUCUCCUCCUCCGGACUGCUGCCCAAGCUUCAGCGGCAGUCCGACAGAGAAAGGGAUUGUACUCCCGGAGCUUAGCUGUGCAGGGUUCCCGCCGAGUUCCCCCCGCCGGAGCUGCUCGUCUGCUGGUCCACAAAAUCUUAGCUAUGCUCUGUUUGGAGGGGAGUAGGGAAGUCAGGUAAUAUUCUCACUCAAGACGUGCACGCCACGGUAAAGAGAUGACAGACCAAACACCAUAUGAUGAUGGUCUUUGGGAUUUUCCACGAAGAAGAGGGGUUACUUAAGAAAACAUUAACCAAAUGCAAGAAGAAAAGAUUGACAUAUCAGUCAUCAGAGAAUUGGAGGAUGCUUCCCUUGCUUGCUAUAUACCACGUUAUGGACGGUGAUAGGAUUUCUAUGAAGCGCUACUGUCUGGACAAACAAAAAAAGAAACGAUGACAGCAGACACUCAAGGAUGUCCCUUCUUGAAAAACUGAGAAAGAAAAUGAGGACAGCAACAGCAAGCCAUGAUGGGGCCUGGGCCUUCAAGAAGAGCAAAAAAUCAAGCAAUGAUCGAUCUAAAAAUGCUAGAACGAGUUCAAGAGUUCAAUUUAGUUGUGCUGGAUCCAUGAGGGAAAAACAAGUGAGAAAGCGUGGUGGUGGGGGCACCAGGGUACUUGAUGUACCCAAGGAUUUGACUAAAAAAUACAUUUUGUCUCAUGCAAAAUAACAGUUUUUUCCACAAGGUGACUCGAAAAAAGGAAAAUGGGAAGUCUUCAUUCACAAUGUUUUUGACUUUAAAGAAUCAGAACUUGAUGAGAGAACUACUGUUGGUGAAUUAUACACACUGUCAAAAUUUGGGAUUUUAAGGUUUUACCUUAGCACAAAGUGUUAGACAGACAUAUCUGACACAGAUGAGGACAGCAUAGAGAGAGAUGGUGACACUAAAGGAGAGCAGCAGAGAGAGACCGAUUCUGAUGGGGACCAGGAAAAGCCAGCUAGUAUUGUAUCACUCGCAGAAACAUCUGGUAUACAGCUGAAGACUCCACUGUUCAUUCAGCUGCUGGUGAAGUUGUUGAUCUUGCCUCUCAGUCUUAUGAUUCAGAGGUGUUCAUCAGGGGCCUACCUGUUGUAUCCUCUGCAGGGCAGCUGGAUAACACUAUUCCACUUUUCCUUUCCACAGAGGACAUCCUCAGUGUUGCUUUUUCCACAUCAACUCCUGUUUUAGGAGAUUGUGCUGACCAUGCUGUCCAUUCAAGUGGUAAUUCACACUAUGAUGCACUCUCGGAGAUCCAGCUGGAUGACGCUGUUCCAGUUUUAACUGCUGAGGAAGUCAUCAACGUUUUCCACUACACAUCAACUCCUUUCUCAGAGGACCAUACUGACCAAUCAGGUUUUGGAGCUAUUUUAUGUCACAAUUAAACUUCACAGAGUAAAUCUUUUUGAUGAAAUUAUUUCUCAAUUCAAGGAUGAGUCAAUUCUUAACUACUCUCUAGCUUUAUUAAUGAAAAAGGUGCAGAUGCAGAUAGUGUAGCAGGCCCAGGGACGCUGGA